CUCAAAGCCGCGCUGAGGGGCGGGGGAGCGCUGCUUGCUGUAGCAGAGCGUGCUCUGUUAUGUUCUUCCCUUUUUCCUCAAGCAGAACGAAUGUCCGAUGGAAAAUGCAUAGUAUGAGUAAUGCAUGUGUCCGUGCAUCACAGGUUAUAGAAGAAUAUUCACAGAAGAUUCAGGCUAUGAUCAGAAGUGGCUCCAACUCUAAAGAUGUUCCUCUUGGCUCCUUAACCUGUGAGCUGCUUGAAGCAAGGAUUGUAUUGUGCUGUUCAUAUGGAGCACACUGGGGCCCUAAUCUCAGUUGAGGUUUCUGUGUAUUACUGCAAAACAUGAAGAAUUGGCAUAAUUUGUGUGCAUUUGUGGGAGGAAGAUUUGUAAGAUGAAAAAAAAUAAAACAGUUGCGGUGGUAGCUUAUCAUUUAUCCUGGGAGUGCAUAUAGCUAGAAUGACACAGGAAAAUUAAUGCCCAUUGUACUUGCUUAGACUAUGACAUUAAUGGACUUGCUAAAAUUGUAAUAAUAUAUGUCUUUUAAGGAGUCAUUCUGGCAAUCUGACAAACCACCAUUUAGCUCUAACAAUGUUUGAUCCUCAUCCUGAGCCGUAGGCUGGAUUGCAUCUUGAAGACUGAAGCUGCAAAAGUGUCAAACUAGAAUAAAUUAAGAAAUUCAACUGCAGAAAGACAGAACGGAGUAACGACAGGUUACUGUUUCCAAGCUUCUUGCUGACUGGGUUUGCACCAUCCUUUCUGCUAUCUCCUUUUCUUUCAUAUCUUGGUCUUGCACAUCACAUUUGUCAUGGUAAUAAUUUGAGCUUGCCCACCUCCCACUCAGAGAUGUUUGCUUCUUCCCCGUUUAAUGCGCUGCACAGAACAAUUCUCCUAAACUAAUCUGUUAGCUUGUUCAUAAUCCAAUGUCUGACAGGAAUGUGGCUGUUAAACGCAUGGGAGUAAAAUUUAUUGUAUUUACAACUUUAGGCUUCUGCUCAAUGAAAGCUAUUAAAAUUAAAAUUUGAAAGCUAUUAAAAAAAAAAUGCUCUUUCAAAAUAGGGGCUUUUUCCUUUUGGUAAGAGUUGUUAAGAAGCAACUAAUUAUUACAAUCUGUAUAACAUUUUUUUAAAGAGCACAAAUAUAAAUUCCCUAACAUGUCUGCCUGUCUGUGGUAUUUUAACCUCUACUCCUAGUGUAUAAGCACCUUAUAUACUAAGCACCCUUAGGGUUCAGGUUCUUUUUCCAUUUCUCUUUGAACAGUGCAGUGGUCCACUUUGCUUAUGUACCCACCAGAGGAGAUAGUUUAUUAUACACCAGUUCCCCACCAUUUCUGCAGAACUGCUAGGACAGUGCUUUUUGUGUGAAGAAAGUUUAUUGAUGCAAUUCCUUCAUAUGCCCUGGAUACCAGUUCCUACAAGAUGAAAUCUUAUUCAGUUGCUGCCUGCAAGCUGAGUUGGAAGAGAGACUUCUAACAGUCUGUCUGUGCUGUCAUCAUACUAUUUUACACUCUUUGGAAAAUCUAACUGAGGAAUAGAAGAGUUAAUGGAGAAAGGGCAACUUGUGUAACUGGUAUAAUGAGAUGCAGCUAAAUGUAAAUUUCAUUUCUUUAAUGAUGUCUUUUCAAAUUAUGCUUUUUAACAUAUCUGUCUUUAUGUGGGACUGAAAGAGUAUCAGAAUCUGUUAGAAAUCUAACGUAUUGUCAAAAAAACAUUUGAAUUCUUUCUACCUGUGGAAUAUUCCCUUCUGAUACUAUUUACAGAAUGUUUUUUUAAGUGUAAUAACAGGAAGGGAAUUUGUCUUUUUUAGAAACUGUUCACUAUAUCAGAGUGGUGGGGCAGAUAUUUCUAAAUCUGUGUGGGAGUGAACUGUAUUUGGUAACUCCUGCAAACAGAAAGUGUGGAGGGGAGAGAAGAGUUCUCACUUAAACUGGAAUGGGACUGCUGGCAUUACAGAGACUACUCAGAAUGAAAUAAUAUUGUGUGAAAUACAAGAAUAUGCAUUUUUCUUUCAGGCUUGUCAGAUUUCCAUGUAGUUGCUUAUCCUAUAUUUGUAGCAUAUAUUACAGUAACUAAAAUGAACUAAUGUUGAAUGAAGAUGUAAAAGUCCUUGUGACACAUACUCCUUCUCAAUUAAAGUUAUAGUUUAUAUAUUUUUUUCCAGGCUGAAUAUUGUUGAACUUUAUUUAUAAUUUUUUAAUAAAUAGUAGUUGAAGUUGUCAUUCAAGCUCAUGUUGCUCAGGAAG